rnacentral:rRNA from 1 species
UGAUUUACAUUUGAGUGAGUGGCGAACUGGUGAGUAACACGUGGGAAACCUGCCCAGAAGCGGGGGAUAACACCUGGAAACAGAUGCUAAUACCGCAUAAACAACUUGGACCGCAUUGGUCCGAGUUUGAAAAGAUGGCUUCGGCUAUCACUUUUGGAUUGGUCCCGCGGCGUAUUAGCUAGAUGGUGAGGGUAACGGCUCACCAUGGCAAUGAUACGUAGCCCGACCUGAGAGGGUAAUCGGCCACAUUGGGACUGAGACACGGCCCCAAACUCC